UACAGCAUGGUGACCCCGCUAUACUUACAUGUAUACAUUCUUUUUUCACACAUUCUGUGUUCCAUCAUAGGUGACUAGACAGAGUUCCCAGUGCUACCCAGCAGGAUCCCACUGCUAAUCCACCGAGAAGGCUACAUUCUGCAUCUAUUUACCCCAAGCUCCCAGUCUCUCCCACUCCCUCCCCUUCCCCCUUGGCAACCACAAGUCUAUUCUCCAAGUCCAUGAUUUUCUUUUCUGUGGAAAGGUUCCUUUGUGCCAUGUAUUAUAUUCCAGAACUCACCUAAAGCAGUCAACAACGAAACAGACCUCUGAAGUCUGACAGACUUUGAGUUCAAAAGGGAGACAGUGAAAAUACUGAAGGAAUUAAGAGGGGGUAUGAACAGUUAAUGCAUAUUCCCUCAGAAAGGAACUAGAAAAUAUAAGGAGGACUCAAGAAAAACUAGAAAAUUCAUUUGCAGAGAUACAAACGGAGCUAAGGGCAGUAAAAACCAGGAUGAAUAGCUCAGAGGAACGAAUUAAAAAUGCUCUGAAGUAAAAGCAGAAGGGGUGGAAGGCAGAAGAAGAAAGGAAGAAAAAUAUAGGGAGAAGAGAAGACAGAGCAAGGCAGGGAGAAGGGAUGAUGAGAUGGGGAGAGGACAGAGAAGAGGAGGAUGGGAGCCCUCAGUUCAAGGCUGCUACAGCUUUGAGAGCUGGAGAGUAAAUCUAAGGAGAAGCAGAAGAUGUGUGAAGAGGACAAGUUAACCCUUAAGUAAAGCUGCACUUCUGCUGUCACAGCCAAAAGAGGGACUUACUCAAAUAGUCCACAAAUCUCUACCUUUCCAAAGAAACUUAAAGCAAUUUUAAGAAACAAGUUGUAUACAUUCCACAUCUCAGAAAAGACCUUCUGAGUCCAAGCAAAUUAACACGAAGGGACUCGAAGCUGAUUCCUCAGUAAAGGAGAGUGGCCGAUUUUCUACAAAUGCCAUGUUUUCUGCAUCUGUUUCUAUAAAAGCAAUGUUUUAUUGAUCCAAAUAGUGGACAAUAAAGGAGUUCUCCUGUCAAGUUUGAGAAAUUGUAGGGUUUAUACUUUUAUCAUUCUGACCUGCAGACUAACCUUUUACCCAGAAAAAAAUACUUUUCCCCUUGUUAAAGGAAAGUUAAAUUCAGAAAGGAAGAAUACUGAUAGGAAACUGCUUCUGAGAAAUCCAUCUCACUGAAAUGAAACACAGAAUCCUGAAAAGAUGUUUUAGAAUGUAACUUUGAUUUAAAAAAAAAAUCAAUCCCUCUGAAGUAACAGGAACCUCUUACCUCCAAAGAGUAAUGCAAAUCCAACACUUACUUUAAGCAAGUUACCAACUUAAUUUUGGAAGUGGUCAAGGUCUGGUGACCUUUAGAGUUGGCUAAAAGACAGCCUUGCUUUGGCUUGGCAAUAUUUUUCAAAAAGUUAUUACGACUUUUACAUGGUCCAGGAAUCAGAGGAAAUUUUUAACAGAAAUUUAUUAUGUAACAAUUGAAAAUGCAAAGCACAUAAUUUUACUAAUUUCUUACAGGUUUUGAGUUGGAGAAUUAAAAUACUAGACAAAAUACAUAUACUAUGAAAUGAUAUUUCCAAGAAAUAUUAAAACCUUUACUAAAUAUUUAGAUUAUCUUCUGAUAUUAGGAAAACACUUAGGUAAUUACAGCAAAAGACAAUAUAAAAUAUUAUAGAAUAUAAAAAUACUAAAAUUAAAAAUCACUUAAUCCUUAAUUGUAGUAAGUACGGGUUUUUAAAAUAGCCAUUAAUGAAAAAAAUCAUGUAUCACAAAUUGUGCAGUGAUAUCAUUUAUAAUUCCAUCUACAAAAGCAAGCCGGAUGGAAAUCCUAUAAAAUUGGAUUGUAAUGAUCAAGUAUGGAAUAUAGUAAACUAAAUUCUUAUAAGAGUGACAGGGAAGGACCCAGAGGAAUACUAAGAAUAAAAACAAACAUACUCUCUCCAAAAAUUUGUUAGCUGACAGGAAGAAUCGAACCUCGAGCUCGAUGCAGUUAAUGUAACGCAAAUGCAAACUGGAGGCUGGCACUCGCCAUCUGCCUCGACGUGGACUGAAUCACAAGCUGCCGACUCUGCUGACCUUCAACACCCCCUGAAAGGAGCUCAGGGUGGAGAUAAGGAGUGAGGCAUUCUGUGCUCUGGGAAAAACUAACAGAAUAGGUCUUCAGAUAGGUACAUAUCUUCAGGAGAAUAUUUUAUGAGCCUAAUUCUUACAUAUCCUCAUAUCUAGAAAAGCACCAAAAUCCUUCAUGGUGACAUCUCUCCUCGUAACUAGCAGUAACCUUCACGAGAGCAGCAGGAACUUUCAUGAGACCAGCAAAAUGUGCACCUGACUCUAUGUACCUCCCCCUUCGCCAAAAUCGCAUAUAUACUGACCUUUCCCCAUAUCCCUUUGGAGUGGUUUCUCAGCGCUACCUGAAAUGCUGCCCCCUGGGUUAUAGUCCUCACCCUGACCCCAAAUAAAACUAAUGCACAACAUUCGUGUUGUGCUUUUUAAGCCAAAAAAAAAAAAAAAUCACAUUCUCUUCUCCAUAACACACACUCCUUACUGAAGAAAGAAUUGAAGUGGGGGUGCUGUAAGACCUGAGAAGGGAAAGGUAUGAUUCUUUCCAUCAAAAUCCCCAUUGAAACCUAUCUGUAUACAGACAGUUUCACAAGACAGCACAGCAGUUUCACAGCAGCACGAACUUCAGGAAAUAACCAAAGAUGCUUUCUGAAUUCCAUUAAACACUCACAAAAAUCCUACUAUGUGUUUAUAAAGCUGUACCCUCUGCCUUCUUCUUCAGGCCUCCCACUCUGAAAGCGAUAUCUCUAAUAUUCCUAAUUAAAAGCAAAAGGAACCAUUGAUGAAAUACAUAAAUAACACUCUCUGAAAAAGAGAGUCUAGCCAUUUGUUUUUCUGACUAUGAAAAUGUAGCUUGUGUCAAGCAGCCAAGAUCCCUGCUGAAUCAGACCAUGAAAGGAGAGUCUUACUUGUAAUGUUACUUUUAUAUCUGCUUGUGGUCAGCCUCUCAGGCCUGGCUACUGAUCAUCAGUCCAAGGUGGAUUCCAUCCAUCAGUUACCAGGCACAUGAAACAGGCAGGGGUCAGCAGCCACCAUCGCAAUCAGCUGGGGACAAUAUGAGAUGUGCUUGUCCUUAUCAUGGCAGCUGGGCAAGGGCCACUCAGAGAGUGACCCCAGACCCCCUUUGAUGUCACAACGAAUUCACACCACACACACAAUGAUCAAGACGACCAGUCCCGCCAGCUGUGAGGCAAAACCACAGAGAAGCCAGAACAGCAAGCUGUGGAAACACCUGGCUGAUGCUGAGCCAAACAAAUUCUUAGGUGGCAACAUGGAGAAGAGAGAAUGUAUUCUUUAUUGAACACGCAUACUACAAGAAAACAAGAGGGCAAAAUGAUGUCUUAAAUGAAAUAACAAAUCAAUAAAAAUGCAGUCCUUUCUAUUUCAAAUAAGAAUCUCAGAGGAUUGUUCCCUGAUUCUGCAAUAAAAAAGGUAUAUUGCUCUGUGUUGGCACUGCAAUAUUAGUUUAUCUCCUUCAUUUCUUCCUAUUUCAGUGUAAGGCAAGGGAUCCUUAACAUUUAAAAAGAGUUGAUCCACGUGAUUUUUCAGUUCUCCACGUCUCGGUUUGUAGAGCUCCAUAUUUCAACAUUAGUUUAUAAUGGACAUUAGUCAGAUCGUGCUAUUCCUCUGCAGAACUCACAUCAAGUCCACUUUUCACAGAACAUCAUCAUCACAUAAAUAUUCCAGCACACCGUGUCGGUCUUCCCCAACACAGCUGUUUUUUAAAAAGCGGCUACCUUUGGGUGAAAAAAAAUUUCAAACUCCAAGUCUAUUUUUGCUAAAGAUGCAGACUUUUAGAGCAGGACUUCCCAAUAAAGACAGUGCUUUGGAGUUCCUGUCGUGGCUCAGGGGUUAACGAAUCUGACUAGGAACCAUGGGUUUGCGGGCUCGAUCCCUGGCCUUGCUCAGUGGGUUGAGGAUCCAGCCUUGCCAUGAACUGUGGUGCAGGUCGCAGA
rnacentral:lncRNA from 1 species